rnacentral:rRNA from 1 species
GGGUUGUGAGGUUAAGCGACUAAGCGUACACGGUGGAUGCCCUGGCAGUCAGAGGCGAUGAAGGACGUGCUAAUCUGCGAUAAGCGCCGGUAAGGUGAUAUGAACCGUUAUAACCGGCGAUUUCCGAAUGGGGAAACCCAGUGUGAUUCGUCACACUAUCAUUAACUGAAUCCAUAGGUUAAUGAGGCGAACCGGGGGAACUGAAACAUCUAAGUACCCCGAGGAAAAGAAAUCAACCGAGAUUCCCCCAGUAGCGGCGAGCGAACGGGGAGGAGCCCAGAGCCUGAAUCAGCAUGUGUGUUAGUGGAAGCGUCUGGAAAGGUGCGCGAUACAGGGUGACAGCCCCGUACACAAAAGCGCAUGUGCUGUGAGCUCGAUGAGUAGGGCGGGACACGUGGUAUCCUGUCUGAAUAUGGGGGGACCAUCCUCCAAGGCUAAAUACUCCUGACUGACCGAUAGUGAACCAGUACCGUGAGGGAAAGGCGAAAAGAACCCCGGCGAGGGGAGUGAAAAAGAACCUGAAACCGUGUACGUACAAGCAGUGGGAGCACAGGUUUACCUGUGUGACUGCGUACCUUUUGUAUAAUGGGUCAGCGACUUAUAUUCUGUAGCAAGGUUAACCGUAUAGGGGAGCCGUAGGGAAACCGAGUCUUAACCGGGCGUUAAGUUGCAGGGUAUAGACCCGAAACCCGGUGAUCUAGCCAUGGGCAGGUUGAAGGUUGGGUAACACUAACUGGAGGACCGAACCGACUAAUGUUGAAAAAUUAGCGGAUGACCUGUGGCUGGGGGUGAAAGGCCAAUCAAACCGGGAGAUAGCUGGUUCUCCCCGAAAGCUAUUUAGGUAGCGCCUCGUGAAUUCAUCUCCGGGGGUAGAGCACUGUUUCGGCUAGGGGGCCAUCCCGGCUUACCAACCCGAUGCAAACUGCGAAUACCGGAGAAUGUUAUCACGGGAGACACACGGCGGGUGCUAACGUCCGUCGUGAAGAGGGAAACAACCCAGACCGCCAGCUAAGGUCCCAAAGUCAUGGUUAAGUGGGAAACGAUGUGGGAAGGCCCAGACAGCCAGGAUGUUGGCUUAGAAGCAGCCAUCAUUUAAAGAAAGCGUAAUAGCUCACUGGUCGAGUCGGCCUGCGCGGAAGAUGUAACGGGGCUAAACCAUGCACCGAAGCUGCGGCAGCGAACGUAUCACCCAAGACAACUUUACGGAGUUGACGAUUGACGGAGCGAAGCGACGUCAAAGCGUUCAUUAAAGUCGAGUUGGCUUAGGGAUACGUUCGUUGGGUAGGGGAGCGUUCUGUAAGCCUGUGAAGGUGUGUCGUGAGGCAUGCUGGAGGUAUCAGAAGUGCGAAUGCUGACAUAAGUAACGAUAAAGCGGGUGAAAAGCCCGCUCGCCGGAAGACCAAGGGUUCCUGUCCAACGUUAAUCGGGGCAGGGUGAGUCGACCCCUAAGGCGAGGCCGAAAGGCGUAGUCGAUGGGAAACGGGUUAAUAUUCCCGUACUUGGUGUUACUGCGAAGGGGGGACGGAGAAGGCUAUGUUGGCCGGGCGACGGUUGUCCCGGUUUAAGCGUGUAGGUGUGUGUUCCAGGUAAAUCCGGUUCACUUUAACACUGAGGCGUGACGACGAGGCACUACGGUGCUGAAGCAACAAAUGCCCUGCUUCCAGGAAAAGCCUCUAAGCAUCAGGUAACACGAAAUCGUACCCCAAACCGACACAGGUGGUCAGGUAGAGAAUACCAAGGCGCUUGAGAGAACUCGGGUGAAGGAACUAGGCAAAAUGGUGCCGUAACUUCGGGAGAAGGCACGCUGACACGUAGGUGAAGUGAUUUACUCAUGGAGCUGAAGUCAGUCGAAGAUACCAGCUGGCUGCAACUGUUUAUUAAAAACACAGCACUGUGCAAACACGAAAGUGGACGUAUACGGUGUGACGCCUGCCCGGUGCCGGAAGGUUAAUUGAUGGGGUCAGCGCAAGCGAAGCUCCUGAUCGAAGCCCCGGUAAACGGCGGCCGUAACUAUAACGGUCCUAAGGUAGCGAAAUUCCUUGUCGGGUAAGUUCCGACCUGCACGAAUGGCGUAAUGAUGGCCAGGCUGUCUCCACCCGAGACUCAGUGAAAUUGAACUCGCUGUGAAGAUGCAGUGUACCCGCGGCAAGACGGAAAGACCCCGUGAACCUUUACUAUAGCUUGACACUGAACAUUGAGCCUUGAUGUGUAGGAUAGGUGGGAGGCUUUGAAGUGUGGACGCCAGUCUGCAUGGAGCCGACCUUGAAAUACCACCCUUUAAUGUUUGAUGUUCUAACGUGGACCCGUAAUCCGGGUUGCGGACAGUGUCUGGUGGGUAGUUUGACUGGGGCGGUCUCCUCCUAAAGAGUAACGGAGGAGCACGAAGGUUGGCUAAUCCUGGUCGGACAUCAGGAGGUUAGUGCAAUGGCAUAAGCCAGCUUGACUGCGAGCGUGACGGCGCGAGCAGGUGCGAAAGCAGGUCAUAGUGAUCCGGUGGUUCUGAAUGGAAGGGCCAUCGCUCAACGGAUAAAAGGUACUCCGGGGAUAACAGGCUGAUACCGCCCAAGAGUUCAUAUCGACGGCGGUGUUUGGCACCUCGAUGUCGGCUCAUCACAUCCUGGGGCUGAAGUAGGUCCCAAGGGUAUGGCUGUUCGCCAUUUAAAGUGGUACGCGAGCUGGGUUUAGAACGUCGUGAGACAGUUCGGUCCCUAUCUGCCGUGGGCGCUGGAGAACUGAGGGGGGCUGCUCCUAGUACGAGAGGACCGGAGUGGACGCAUCACUGGUGUUCGGGUUGUCAUGCCAAUGGCACUGCCCGGUAGCUAAAUGCGGAAGAGAUAAGUGCUGAAAGCAUCUAAGCACGAAACUUGCCCCGAGAUGAGUUCUCCCUGAGACUUAGAGUCUCCUGAAGGAACGUUGAAGACGACGACGUUGAUAGGCCGGGUGUGUAAGCGCAGCGAUGCGUUGAGCUAACCGGUACUAAUGAACCGUGAGGCUUAACCUUACAACGCCGAAG